UGAAGAUAUAUCAUUAAUACUCCGAGGAGGAGAGACUAGUAUACGUGUUUCUCUUCAGAGUCAUGCGUUUGGCCUACGUUUGGCCCAGAUUUGUGUAACCUGGGUUUGGCCUUGGCCUGGGGUGGAGGCAUGCUAGAGACAUGCUGAGAAGAAAGGAUUGGCACUAAGACUACAGCACCCAGCCUACAGCUUCCUUUCAUCCUCCGACAAUUUUAAUUGUUGUAAAUUAUUGAAUGAAACUAAUAUGAGACAUUUCUGCUGGCUUAUUUGAAGAGGUUAUAGGGAGGGAUUGAUGGUAAACUUAUGGAGCUGCUGAGAUAUUACUGUUCUAAAGAAGUAACUGACAUUUGCCCCCUUAUCUUGGAAGGUUUGAGGUUAGUGGACUUGGACGGUCGGUCAUGCUGACGACGACAGUUAGGGAGAUGAGAGACAAAAUGUUGCACAGCGGCAUUUACUAGUUUUGUCGCACUUUUUCUUUUUAUAUAUUUAGUCUGUUCUAGCUGUUCAUUUUUGCCACAAGUAGGGAGUCUAAAUGGAAGGGUUGCUUGGGGUAACAUAUUGAUAGGCCUAUCAGACACCCACACUGUAUGUAUGUUAUAGUUUAAGAAUGUGUACUUUAAUCUAACACCUGGUUAAAAACAUGAGGUUUAAUCAACUCCCAAAACAGUAAUUUGAAUGGACAGCCUUUUUUUGUUGUUUUAUAAUUGCAUGAUGGGAAAGCACAUCAUGUUUGUUAGAUAUUAUUGUUCUGGAAACAUCUAUUCUAUAUUUACUAAAAAACAAGAUUAAUCUGGUUUCAGAAACAAAUCUAUUUUUGUCCCCAAUGUCAUUCAACAACACUGGGCCAACUUUCAAAACGCUGGCAUGCUUGGGAUAACAUAACAAUGAAACAAGAGAGGACAAACAAGAUCACAUUUCCUCUUUCCAAUGCUUUAUUAUAUGUGCCAUUUUCAAGAUUGGGCCAGUUGUGUUGUGUUUAAUAUAUAUAAUGUCCUGUCGUAUGGUUAUUUUGGGUAAGCUUUAGCAUGGUCCUGUUUCUGUAAUAAGGAGCCCAGAUUUAUAAUUGCACUAGCUAGGAAAUGAGAAAACAAAUACGUUUACAAGAGUAUUUUUGGAGAGAUGUGACCUGCAGGGAAGGGGGAUGAGUGAAUGGUUGUUUGAGACUGUGGGUGAAUGUAAACUGUAGCACUGCUUCAGCUGGUUUCUAGCCCUGGUAGAGCAUAGGAACAGUACUGUACAUUAAAGUACAGGAUCUUGGUGCCACAAGAUACAAUUAUUUUCUAGCAGCUUGUACACUGUUGUAUCUGCUCAUAUAAAGUGGGCCGGAGAAUGGAAUAACAUUAACAAUUAUUUGAAAGAAAGGUGACUGACUUUCCGUCUUAAGGGCACUGGAGCUGCUGUGUGAUUUCAAUAAAGA
rnacentral:lncRNA from 1 species